rnacentral:rRNA from 1 species
GACGAACGCUGGCGGCGUGCUUAACACAUGCAAGUCGAACGGAAAGGCCCUGCUUUUGUGGGGUGCUCGAGUGGCGAACGGGUGAGUAACACGUGAGUAACCUGCCCUUGACUUUGGGAUAACUUUAGGAAACUGCGGCUAAUACCGGAUAGGAGCUUCUGCUGCAUGGUGGGGGUUGGAAAGUUUCGGCGGUUGGGGAUGGACUCGCGGCUUAUCAGCUUGUUGGUGAGGUAGUGGCUUACCAAGGCUUUGAAGGGUAGCCGGCCUGAGAAGGUGACCGGGCACAAUAGGACUGAGGGACGGCGCAGACGCCUACGGGAGGCAGCAGGGGAGAACAUGGCACAAUGAGGCGAAGCCUGAGACAGCAGCGCCGGGUGCGGAAUGACGGCCUUCUAGCUGUAAACCGCUGUCGCCGGUGACGAAGCGUGAGUGACGGUAAUGAAUAAAAAAGCACCGGCUAACUACGUG